ACUGAAUCUGAUGGACCAGUUCAUGGAGAUCCUCUGUUAUCAGCUACUCGUGGCAUUGGAGCUUCAGGAGCUCGUCGUGGUUGGGAUAUAAAAGUUGUAUGGGAAUGUGUUGAGAUUGAACUCUCCGAUUGAUCCGGCAAAGAAGAAGAAGAACAUCAGUGAGAAGGAAACAACAAUGAUGAAGAACAAGAAGAUUGGAAACUAGAAGAAGAAGACGACGUAAGAGAGAGACGUGAGAAGAAGAAGAAAAUUCAACAAGUGAAGUGGGUUUUUAGGUUUUAUCUUAUUGGGCUGAUGAAGUUGUUUAGGCCCAAAGUGGUGAAGUAUGUUUUGUUGUGACCCAUUCGUAGAAGUAGCUUAUUCUAGCUAAGUACUUGAGGUAGAGUAGUUGGGGUUGUUAGUGGCUAAGGUAA